AUUAAAAAAAAAAUUGUAUACUAUAUUACUAGUAAUAAUUUUUACAUAUUGGGUUUCUAAAUUUUAAUAGGAAAGUUUAUAUUUUUAUAAAAUAAAAAGUUUAGUUCUGACUUUGAAGUUUAUUGUUAGUUUUAUUUAAUAUAUAAAGUCUUAUUAUUUAAUAAAUUUUAAAUAGAUUUAUUACUAAGUAAUUAAUGUAGUAUAUAGUAUUAAAUAUAUAAAAAAAUAAUUUUUGUAUUAGAAUAUACUAUUAAAAUGGAAAAAAUUUGUGCCAGCAUUCGCGGUUAGACAAAUUAAUUUGAGUAAAUUUUUUAAAUUAUAAAAUUAUCAAUUGUUGUAAAUUUAUUUUAUUUAAUAAAAGUAAAUUAAGGUGAAAUUUUAUUAUUUUUUAAGUAAAAUAAAUUUAAAAUGAAUUUAUGGUAUUUUUUGAAAGUUGUGGAUAAACUAGGAUUAGAUACCCUAUUAUUUUAACUGUAAAUUUAUUUUGUUUAUUUUUAUUGUGGUGUAAUUUUAAUUUUUAACAUAGAGGUGUUAGGUAGUACUAGUUAUGAUCUUGAAACUUUAAGAAUUUGACGGUAAUUCAUUCAUUUUAGAGGAACUUGUUUUUUAAUUGAUGGUCCACGAUAAGAUUUACCUAUUUUUUAUGUUUGUAUACCGUCGUUUAAAAAAAAUUUUUAAAGAAGCAUUAAUUUUUGUAAUAUUAGUAGAUAUUUAGAUUGAUUUAUUGGUUUAUAUUUUUAUAAGUAUUAAUUCAGAUCAAGGUGCAGCUUUUAUUUAGGUUAAAAUGAGUUACAAUAAAUUUAGUUUAUUACGGAGUUAAUAAUUUAAUUUAUUAAUAAAGGAGGAUUUAAAAGUAAAUUUAAUAUAAUUAUUUAAGUUGAAAAUUGUUUUGAGUUAUGUACAUAUCGCCCGUCGCUCUCAUUACAAAAUGAGAUAAGUCGUAACAAAGUAAAAGUACUGGAAAGUGUUUUUAGAAUUAAAAUAUUUU
rnacentral:rRNA from 1 species